rnacentral:rRNA from 1 species
GACGAACGCUGGCGGCGUGCUUAACACAUGCAAGUCGAACGGAAAGGCCCUGCUUUUGUGGGGUGCUCGAGUGGCGAACGGGUGAGUAACACGUGAGUAACCUGCCCCUGACUUUGGGAUAACUUCAGGAAACUGGGGCUAAUACCGGAUAGGAGCUCCUGCUGCACGGUGGGGGAUGGAAAGUUUCGGCGGUUGGGGAUGGACUCGCGGCUUAUCAGCUUGUUUGUGAGGUAGUGGCUUACCAAGGCUUUGACGGGUAGCCGGCCUGAGAGGGUGACCGGCCACAUUGGGACUGAGAUACGGCCCAGACUCCUACGGGAGGCAGCAGUGGGGAAUAUUGCACAAUGGGCGGAAGCCUGAUGCAGCAACGCCGCGUGCGGGAUGACGGCCUUCGGGUUGUAAACCGCUUUCGCCUGUGACGAAGCGUGAGUGACGGUAAUGGGUAAAGAAGCACCGGCUAACUACGUG